UCGAGAAUCAUUCACAAUGGGGGAAACCCUGAUGGUGCGACGCCGCGUGGGGGAAUGAAGGUCUUCGGAUUGUAAACCCCUGUCAUGUGGGAGCAAAUUAAAAAGAUAGUACCACAAGAGGAAGAGACGGCUAACUCUGUGCCAGCAGCCGCGGUAAUACAGAGGUCUCAAGCGUUGUUCGGAAUCACUGGGCGUAAAGCGUGCGUAGGCGGUUUCGUAAGUCGUGUGUGAAAGGCGGGGGCUCAACCCCCGGACUGCACAUGAUACUGCGAGACUAGAGUAAUGGAGGGGGAACCGGAAUUCUCGGUGUAGCAGUGAAAUGCGUAGAUAUCGAGAGGAACACUCGUGGCGAAGGCGGGUUCCUGGACAUUAACUGACGCUGAGGCACGAAGGCCAGGGGAGCGAAAGGU
rnacentral:rRNA from 1 species